UUGACGCACGGUUUGACAGUUUUGCUGUGAAACAAUUUCAUUACGACAGCAGGGUGCAUAUUUUACGAAGUAAUUUUUGAUGUUAUGAUAUAUUAUUGACAAAUUCAUAUAAAAACAUUAUUUUAUUUAUCAUAGACAGAACAACGUCUGUCGGGUCAACUAGUUAUCAAUAUAGAUAAUACAUAUAUUCUAUUGUAAAAGUAUAUUUUUAUAACGCUGCUGAAGUGUAUUAAUACAUUGUUGGUAGGUAUUAAUAAUAUAUAUGUGUAGAUAUGUACGAAGUACUUUGUGUUUAUCACGUGUACAUUAAGGAUAACACAUGUUCUGUGUCACCGUUAGGUGUAGCCAAUAGUUAGCUUAGCCAUACAAACUUAUAUGUCGAGUGCCAUUUUAUUAAAUUUUCAGUUUACGGUUUAUGUCACAUCAAAUAGGAAUGUGUUAUUUAAAAUUAUGUACGGAUUUGUCUUUAUAGAAGUAUUAUUAAUACUAAUGCGUAAUACUCAAUAGCCGCGUGUAAAUAUAGGGAUGUGAUGUUACGCUUUCUGUCGGAACUAACGGGGGGUGUUGGUCAGUGAGCGAUACCAAGAGUUAUAUGAAGUAGUCUGGACUUGUCCACGUAUACAUGGAGAAUUUUAAAAUAUAAACAUAAAACUUUCAUUUAUACGUCUAAAUAGAACUCUGACAGCUGUGAAAACUUCGAAAAGAAUUGAGGUUGGUUGUUGAUAUCUAUAUUGAGCAAUGCACGAACAUUAACACGGUGACAUAAAUCGCGAGUGUAAGACGUAGCUUAAUAAACCUGGCCUGUUUUAAUCGGUUGUCUAGCAGCAAGAGGCUCUAUCUAAACGAAUAAAUUAUCAAAAAUAUUAGAUAUUAAAAAUUUAAUACACAGAAAGCGUAUAAGACGAGAGCGCUGAGUUGGAGUGAGGAGAGAGCCGGAAUGGCACGUCACGGUCUACCUUAAGUAAGUUGCGAGACGACGGAACAAUCUGACGGUACUGGUUACAGGGCCGGUGAUCUGGCAACAUUAACACUGAGUACCAGUGUGGAGGUACACAAUAUUGUUAUAUAUGAUUACGAUUAUUAUAAUGUUAUGUACAAUCAUUAUUUAAUGUUAAAAUGUCUUCGAGUGUGUCUUUCAAAAACAGUUACAUGUUGAAAUGUUCAAAUAAAUAAAACAAAAUAUGAAUUA